AAAAGUACUGGCAGGCCCCUUCUGUACUGAUCCUUUACUCAGGAGCUACUUGUGAUUCUCAGCACUGAAACGGGUGAUUAGCUAAAGUGCUGAAGAAGGAGGUUUCCCUACAGCCAUUGCCUUAUAGUGAAACCAUGUGUGUAAUGGGCAUCUUGAGGGCAACACAGACAAACCUCUUCAUACCUCCCAGAGGGAGGAGAGGAGCAGAAGCAUUAAAAUCCCUGCAUAUAUAAGCACAGAGUUUAAUUCAAAAGAGUAUUUGCAAUAUGAUUCUAUGAUUCUAAUAUGCAGCCUCUAAGUGAGAGCCAAAACUUCAUCUCUUCUGCUGUAAUUAUGUUGACAGAGCCUGGAAAUUUAAUCUCACAUGGAGGGUGAAUUCAUUCAGCUUCAGCUGUCAGUCACUGGAUCUUGUUAUUAAUGUGAUACUGAGGUAGAAAAGCACCCUGAUGUAAUUGCUGUGUUUAAGUGCUGAUACACAAUGAUGAAGUAAUUUCUCAGCCUUUUAAGUACUUCACUGCCCUGAAAGUCAUAGUUAAACAUUUGAAGUUUGUUAGCAGUAGGAAUUUAAUAUUCUUAUGUUGCAGUUGUUUUCCUCAUUCCUAUGUGCAUAGCAUUAUGCUAAAAUACAUAUGAAGAUUCCUUAUUUUCCAUCAAACAAUGAAUUUUUAUUUUCCUUUCCUCAGUUUUAGAUAUAAAGUUUAUUACUGGAAAACAAAAAGCCCUUUCCCCCUUACUCUGUUUUAGCCCAAAGCCAUUCCACAGCAAAAAAAAAAAAAAAAAGUGAAUUGUCUUUAAAACACAGUGUCUUUGCAAUAAAAAGUGUGAAAUGUUUUCUUCA